ensembl:snoRNA predicted gene, 25408
CCUGUCCCUAGAAGCAUCGCAUGUGUGGCUGCUGUGUCACAUGUGCAUCAGUAGGUGGCAGAGAAAAGAAAGGCUAUGCCUAGACUCAAGUGUUCAGAUCUGUAAACAUCUGAAUGAUUCGCAGCCUAACAUU